UUUAUGCAUAUUUUAGUACGAACGAAUUGAUUUGAGGUUAAAUAGGAUUUUUUGGGAUAUUGUAGGAGUAGGCAGUGGCUAAAUUAAACACCGAAACCUGGAAAGUCACAGGUCACGUGGAACGAAGGAAAUCGUGAAUCCACCUCCAUCGCUACCAAAAAAAGCGGAGAAUUAAACCAAAGGCAUCUAUAUCUCUCUAUUCACAAUCAUGUUAUGAGUUUGAAACUUGCUCCCUAGCCUUCAAGAUCUCUCAAUGAUUUCUCUAGUGCAUGCCCUACCGACUUUUGUAAUUAUUGCUUCGACUUAUACAUAUUUUUUUUCAUGCAAGCGAUUUCCACUGUAGCUUUUAGAAAAUCCGCCAAACAUGCCAAGUAUCUAACGUCUGAACGUUUCAUCCCGUACAUCCAAUAACUCCAAUCCAUCUAUAAUUCAAUAUAUAUAUAUAUGAUAACAAUUUUUAUUUUGAAAACAAUUUUGUAACAUCUAUUAAAAAAUUUCAAUUUCAUUAAAAUAAUUAAAUAAAAGAAACGUAAUAUUUCAAUACUUCGAUACCCUACUCCCUCUAUUAUAAUCCUCCCUGGUCUCAUAACGCCGAUGAGCUGAACCACCAAGGCCGUCAAAGCACCAUAGGAGUACCGUUAUAGCGCCGCCAGAUUGCCGCCGAAAAACGACCAAAACGGUCAACAUACCGUCGUUUGAACACUGACUCUUCACUCGCUUCAGAUCUUCUAGUAACGUCCUUUCUUUACCUUUGUUUGUUCGUUCAUCGAAAACCGCAUUUAUCUGCCUCUACUCUUCCUGAACUAACUACCUCUGCCACUACUGAGCCGCCCUGAACCACCUCCUUGAGUAAGCCGCAAAAGCAUCUCAUAAGAAAACUACCUUGUAGGAAAUAACCUCCUUCAGUCACCAGCUCUGGAUUUAAAGUUAAAGGCCACUAGAUCUGGUUUCCGAUCUCCACAAAAAAGAUCACAAAUCCGGAGAAAUGUCCAUCGGCGAUCUAUGGACCCUCGCAGUUGUUCUUCUCGUUAACAUUUACUUCGCGAUGGAUGUCACCCCAUAGAAUUAGAUUAUUCACGCAUCGAUUGUAGGUUUGAUUGUGAUCACGAUUAUUUAUGUAAUCAUCAUUGCAAUAUCUCGAUUUUUUUUGUCUUAUAGGCAUCGUUUUAAUAUGGAUUUGCUUGAUUGAGAUUAGGGGUGAGCAUAGGCGGGUACCCAACAAAAUAUACUGGAACCGGAACCAACGGUUCCUAAGAUGUUGAAACCGGAAUCGGAACCGGUUAUAUCGGUUCUUAACAUUUUGGAACCGCUCCCGGAACCACCGGAACCGGUUCCGGUUCCGGAUUCCCGGUUGUUAAAAAAUUGUACACUAAAUUAAGUUAUAGUAAACCAGAUUAUGCUUAUAAAACCCCCUUUUUAUAAUAAAAAAAAAUGUACUUAAAAUAUUAAAACUUUAAUAUAAUUUUUC
rnacentral:lncRNA from 1 species